CGUUUAGGUUUCACAAUCUGCGUUUAGGUUUUGAUAAAUGCUUAUAACUUCUAUGUCCCUUGAGAUAUAACCUUCAUAUUUGGUAUGCAUGUGUAUAUGGACAAGACUUUUCCAUACAAACAAAAAUUUUGACCCCUGUGACCUUGACCUUGAGCUAAGGGUCUGUGUUUAGGUUUCACAAUCUGCGUUUAGGUUUUGAAAAAUGCUCAUAACUUCUAUGUCCCUUGAGAUAUAACCUUCAUAUUUGGUAUGCAUGUGUAUAUGGACAAGACUUUUCCAUACAAAUAAAAAAUUUCUCCCCUGUGACCUUGACCUUUAACUUAGGGUCCGCGUUUAGGUUUCGAAAUCUGCGUUUAGGUUUCGAAAAAUGCUCAUAACUUCUAUGUCCCUUGAGAUAUAACCUUCAUAUUUGGUAUGCAUGUGUAUAUGGACAUGGCCUUUCCCUACGCACACAAAUUUUGACCCCUGUGACCUUGACGUUGAACUUAGGGUCCGCGUUUAGGUUUCGAAAUCUGCGUUUAGGUUUCGAAAAAUGCUCAUAACUUCUAUGUCCCUUGAGAUAUAACCUUCAUAUUUGGUAUGCAUGUGUAUAUGGACAUGGCCUUUCCCUACGCACACAAAUUUUGACCCCUGUGACCUUGACGUUGAACUUAGGGUCCGCGUUUAGGUUUCGAAAUCUGUGUUUAGGUUUCGAAAAAUGCUCAUAACUUCUAUGUCCCUUGAGAUAUAACCUUCAUAUUUGGUAUGCAUGUGUAUAUGGACAAGGCCUUUCCAUACGCACACAAAUUUUGACCCCUGUGACCUUGACGUUAAACUUAGGGUCAGCGUUUAGGUUUUGAAAUCUGCGUUUAGGUUUCGAAA